CGCAUCCGGCCGGGAGAGCGCGCGAGGCAUCGCGCCGCCGAAGGGGUAUCACCCGAAAACUCUCAGGCACCAUGGACUGGUCGGAUCGG
rnacentral:ncRNA from 2 species